UCUCUGAUGGCCAGUGAUGAUGAACGUUUU
rnacentral:piRNA from 1 species